CCACCUUGGAAAUGUUUUCUUGUCUCAUCCCCAUGAAUAGGCAAAUGAAGCUGUGAACUCACAGGGAGGGAUUGAGCUGCUGUCAUCCUCUUCCUUGCGACCCAUCUCCUCCAGAGUGGAAGCAGGGAACGCUGUGAGGAAGAGGAGGAGGAAGAGAGAUUGCCUUUGCUCUGAGUCACAACCUUCCCCUCUCCUCUGUGAUUCCACGAAGGGGAGCCCAGCUCUGAGUGCCCUGAGAGCAGUGGUGGGAGCAGCCCACCAAAAAUGCAGCUUCCUGGAGCCACCCCAGCUCUGCAAGAGGUGUUCAGGUGUGUGUCACCAGCGUUGGAGGGUGUAACUGCAGCAAACCUGAUCAUCCACCCAUCCCUAAUCUACAGAUGUGGAAUAUCACGAAAAGAGAAUUUUCUGGCAGAGACAUUCAGCUGGUGGUGAAAGGUGAGUUUUUUCCACUUGAAAUA